GCUGGUGUAUCUCAGUGGUAGAGUGCAUGCUUUAUGUGUAUGACGUCCUGGGUUUAAUCCCCAGCUUAUCC